UUAAUGCAUGUUAGAGACGUGGUAUAAUGAACCAUACUCCUAAAACAUACCACACUUAAAAGAAAAUGGCAAAAGGGUGGACCUAAUCUCAUCCAUACUAGUAUUGGUUUAUCAACCAAUUAACCUUAGGAUAUAGAGAUAUCAUAGGUCAAUGUAAUGAAUAGGAUAGAAGGGGAUUGAAGAUGAAGAGGGAGGGGAAAUGAGACAAACACAAAUUGACCAAGGGAAGGAUUUUAUCAAAUUAAAAUCAUUCAUUCAUUUUGGGAGAUGAAAU
rnacentral:lncRNA from 1 species